GGCUCUUUGAUAAAAAUUGAUAAGGAGUUGGACCUGCCCAGUGAAAAGUUUUAACGGCCGCGGUACUCUGACCGUGCAAAGGUAGCAUAAUCAUUUGCCUUAUAAUUGAAGGCUUGUAUGAAUGGUUUGACAAGAAUAUAGCUGUCUCUAUAUAAUUUUAUAGAAUUUUAUUUUGAAGUGAAGAAGCUUCAAUAUUAUUAAUAGACAAGAAGACCCUAUCGAGCUUGAAAAAAGAUAGUAGAAGUAUUAAAAUAACAUUAAAAAAUAGUCUAUUAUAAAUUUUGGUUGGGGCGACUUAGGAACAGAAAAAGCUUCCUAGAUAUUAAAAGAAAAACAAAAUGAUCCAAAAUAUUUUGAUUAAGGAAAUUAGUUACCGUAGGGAUAACAGCAUUAUCUUCUUUGAGAGUUCAUAUCGAAAAGAGGGUUUGUGACCUCGAUGUUGGACCAGAAUAUCCUGAAGAUGUAGCAGUCUUCAAGGGUUGGUCUGUUCGACCAUUAAAAUUCUACG
rnacentral:rRNA from 1 species